GGAGGGGUAGCGGAGUAGAAACGCAGCCGCCUGCAGAGCGGCUGAUCGUGGGUUCAAAACAUGCAUAGCA
rnacentral:tRNA from 1 species